rnacentral:rRNA from 1 species
UACGUAGGGUGCAAGCGUUGUCCGGAAUUAUUGGGCGUAAAGAGCUCGUAGGCGGUCUGUUGCGUCCGCUGUGAAAAACUCGGGGCUUAACCCCGAGCCUGCAGUGGAUACGGGCAGACUAGAGGUAGGUAGGGGAGAAUGGAAUUCCCGGUGUAGCGGUGAAAUGCGCAGAUAUCGGGAGGAACACCGGUGGCGAAGGCGGUUCUCUGGGCCUUACCUGACGCUGAGGAGCGAAAGCGUGGGGAGCGAACAGG